AUUGAACGCUGGCGGCAGGCCUAACACAUGCAAGUCGAGCGGAUGACGGGAGCUUGCUCCUUGAUUCAGCGGCGGACGGGUGAGUAAUGCCUAGGAAUCUGCCUGGUAGUGGGGGACAACGUUUCGAAAGGAACGCUAAUACCGCAUACGUCCUACGGGAGAAAGCAGGGGACCUUCGGGCCUUGCGCUAUCAGAUGAGCCUAGGUCGGAUUAGCUAGUUGGUGGGUUAAUGGCUCACCAAGGCGACGAUCCGUAACGGGUCGGAGAGGAUGCUCAGUAACACUGCAACUGGGACACGGUGCAGACUCCUACGGGAGGCAGCAGUGGGGAAUAUUGGACAAUGGGCGAAAGCCUGAUCCAGCCAUGCCGCGUGUGUGAAGAAGGUCUUCGGAUUGUAAAGCACUUUAAGUUGGGAGGAAGGGCAGUAAGCUAAUACCUUGCUGUUUUGACGUUACCGACAGAAUAAGCACCGGCUAACUCUGUGCCAGCAGCCGCCGUAA
rnacentral:rRNA from 1 species